GACGAACGCUGGCGGCGUGCUUAACACAUGCAAGUCGAACGAAGAGAGAUGGAAGCUUGCUUCUAUGGAUCUUAGUGGCGAAUGGGUGAGUAACGCGUAAUCAACCUGCCCUUCAGAGGGGGACAACAGUUGGAAACGACUGCUAAUACCGCAUACGAUCUAAUUUCGGCAUCGAGAUUAGAUGAAAGGUGGCCUCUAUUUAUAAGCUAUCACUGAAGGAGGGGAUUGCGUCUGAUUAGCUAGUUGGAGGGGUAACGGCCCACCAAGGCGAUGAUCAGUAGCCGGUCUGAGAGGAUGAACGGCCACAUUGGGACUGAGACACGGCCCAGACUCCUACGGGAGGCAGCAGUGGGGAAUCUUCCGCAAUGGACGAAAGUCUGACGGAGCAACGCCGCGUGAGUGAUGACGGCCUUCGGGCUGUAAAGCUCUGUUAAUCGGGACGAAUGGUUCUUGUGCAAAUAGUGCGAGGAUUUGACG
rnacentral:rRNA from 1 species